GGAAAUCGGUGGUUUUAAGGCGUAAAUAAGAUGUCAUCUGUGCUGCAGGGGAGCUUCGGGAGGUGCCUAUGAUUUACGGAUAGCCGGGGGAUUUCAAACUCUUGCUCCACGUAACUUGCAUAAAGAAGUGACGGCGUUUAUUAUAACCUUUAAAAACCCCAGCCCAGCAGCACCCAGAGUAAAGGGGGACUGGGCUUCAGGGGGUGCUUGUUGCUUCAAGCAAUCCAGCCGCUUCUCUGCAUCUCUGGUUUGUGUCCGAGACCAGGAAAACGGACCUGUUAGCCAUUCGGAUUAACUGACCCCUUCGACAAGUUUAUGGAGCUGCCAUCUCUCUGCUUGCUGUACUUCCCAUUUCUGAGAGGAGAAAGUGGUGUAUGAGAUCAGAGGAAAAUGCCUCGGACAAAGCAGAUACAUCCCAGAAAUCUGAGAGCAUCAUCACUGUGCUGUGCUGCCAUAAAGGACAGAAUAUAGCCUUUGUCCCUACUCAGCGUUAGCAGAACCAAGAAUGAUGCACGCAGUUGGCAAAGACUUCAACAACAGAGUCCCCAUUCAUUGCUGCGGAGUAGUUUGUUUUAGCCGUGUUACAUAAGCCAUUUGUGGUAUAACUCAGGACAUUGCACAGAAUAAUAUUGGGCAUGGAUAUCCAUCUGUUGUACUAGAUACUGGGAAGGGGAGGAAGAUACCUUAUUGCAGUCAGUUGCUGGGGUAGGUCUUCAAAAGCUAGCUGAACUGAAGUGUUAGGACCCCUUCCCUUAGCAACAUCGUACCACAAGUGCU